rnacentral:rRNA from 1 species
AAGGGAUAGCCUCGGGAAACUGGGAUUAAUACCAUAUAAAACUUACCUUUCGCAUGGAAGGAAAGUCAAAGCGAUAAGCGGUGAAAGAUGGGCUCGCGUCCUAUUAGCUAGUUGGUGAGGUAACGGCUCACCAAGGCGACGAUAGGUAGCCGGCCUGAGAGGGUGAACGGCCACACUGGAACUGAGACACGGUCCAGACUCCUACGGGAGGCAGCAGUGGGGGAUAUUGCACAAUGGAGGAAACUCUGAUGCAGCGACGCCGCGUGAGUGAAGAAGGCCUUCGGGUCGUAAAGCUCUGUCCUAGGGGAAGAUAAUGACGGUACCCUAGGAGGAAGCCCCGGCUAACUACGUGCCAGCAGCCGCGGUAAUACGUAGGGGGCGAGCGUUGUCCGGAAUUACUGGGCGUAAAGAGUUCGUAGGCGGUUUGAUAAGUCAGAUGUGAAAGGCGUAGGCUCAACCUAUGUAAGCAUAUGAAACUGUCAGACUUGAGGUAAGGAGAGGAAAGUGGAAUUCCUAGUGUAGCGGUGAAAUGCGUAGAUAUUAGGAGGAAUACCAGUGGCGAAGGCGACUUUCUGGACUUAAACUGACGCUGAGGAACGAAAGCGUGGGGAGCAAACAGGAUUAGAUACCCUGGUAGUCCACGCCGUAAACGAUGAGUGCUAGGUGUCGNUUAGAAAUAAUCGGU